rnacentral:rRNA from 1 species
AAGUGGUAGGAAGCCGAAGGUGACCGACCUCGGGAGCUUGCACAGGUGCUGCAUGGCUGUCGUCAGCUCGUGUCGUGAGAUGUUCGGUUAAGUCCGCUAACGAGCGCAACCCUCGCUGUGUGUUAUAUGUGUCACACGGGACUGCCGGUCUUAAGCCGGAGGAAGGUGGGGAUGAUGUCAAGUCAGCAUGGCCUUUAUAUCCUGGGCUACACACACGCUACAAUGGCCAACACAAUAGGUUGCUAAGCCGCGAGGUGGCGCCAAUCCAUAAAGUUGGUCUCAGUUCAGAUUGUAGGCUGCAACCCGCCUGCAUGAAGAUGGAGUUGCUAGUAACCGCAGGUCAGCUAUACUGCGGUGAAUACGUUCCCGGGGCUU